AGUGUCAGUUGAGCUCAACUGGUAAAACCUUUGGGUGAUGAUACCAGAGGUCGGGGGUUCGAAUCCCGCUUGCAUUA